CUUACAUGUGUCUGAUUUUCCAAACUCCACUUGCUCACCUAUUUUGGAUACGUGUUUUGCUUUUUUUUCAAUAGCAACACGUGUUUUGCUUUUUUUCCAAAACAACAACACGUCUUCUUUUUCUUAAAGCACUAAAACAGCUUUUAAUUCCUUCAUUUCACACUUUCGUGCAGUCUCCCCCCCCUAUUUUGUUACCCUCUUGAGUUUCUUCCUCAUUCACUGAACUUUCUAUCUAUUUAUACAAACAAGGCCCUGACUACCUUUUUCUCUGUCCUGUUGACACCUGUCCACUGUCUAUUCUCUGUCCUGUUGACACCUGUCCAGUUAUAGGCCUUCUUUUAUGCUUCUUCUUUGCUCAUUUUGUUCAUUGCCGUGUUUUAUGCUUCUUCUUUCCUCAUUCCCGUGUGUUGCCACCUGUCCAAUAAUAAACCCUCUUUUAUGCUUCUUUGCUCUUCAGCCUGUGUGUUGCCACCUGUCCAUUAAAAAACCCUUUUUUAUGCUUCUUUGUUGAUUGCUCACUUCAGUCCACGUGUCCUGUCCCUUUGUUUAUGUUCAUCCUGUCCCUUUUUGCUUCUUCCCUUUUCUGCUUUCCAUUUUUUCCCAUUUCUUCUUUUCGCAUUUCCUGUGCUCACUCCGUUCACUAUUUCUCUCAUUUGCGCUUGCUUUCUAAACUUUUGGUUUGUGUUGCAUUUGCUUAUUUUUUUCGGUUAUGUGUUCAUUGUCAGUUUACCUUUUUUCGGUUUCCUUUGGACUGAAGUGCUAAAAACAUGCAUGAGCUUUGCCUGAUUCUGAUUUACAUUGCUAUUGUUUAUGCCUUUCUGCUCGUUUUGAUGCCUACAACUGUUUCUAUUUUGUUUUUUUUACACGUUUGCAUGCAUGUGUUCGUUUUGGCCUUUAUGUUCAUUUGCAUGCAUGUGUUAAAAAACAUUUACCUUUGUGUUUGUUUUUUAUGUGUAUUGUUUUGGACUCUUCAUUUUCCUUCAUGUUUAAAGCUUUGCCUUUGUAGUUGGUUUUUUUUGUGUAUAUUUGCUUUGUACUGAAAAAAAAACAUACUUGAGCUUUGUCUCAUUUUGAUUGUCAUUUACUUUCGUUGUAUUUGGUUGUAUAUUGCUUUGGACUGAAAACAAAUGUUGUCUCAUUUUGAUUUUUUUUUUGGACUAAAAACAAAUGUAACCUUUGUCUCAUCGUCACUCUCAUUUUGAUUAGUACUGUUUGACUUCUUCUAUAUCCAAUCGUGAAGCUGUCAUUUGAUUCUUCUUUUUCCAGGUUUCUAUUUUCGUCCAACUUCUUUUGCCGGAUUGCUCCUGUUUGCCACUGUUUGCAAAACCAAAAAGUGAUGUCUCGCAAAGAAAAUCUGAUAUCUAAGUUACACACCAGAAAAGGAACAUGGAAAAUAGUUGUGCGUAUCACUGAUCUUUGGCAAGCUCGAAAGCAAAAUAGUAAACAAACAAUUGAGAUGGUGUUGAUGGACCAAACGGUUAUUGUUGUGUUCUUUCUGAUUGUUGUUAUUACUAAUUUGUAUUGUAUGUCAUGUCACUUCAUUUUAUGGUUUAAGUGUUUCAGGGUUCAAAAAUUGGAGCUACUCUCUGGCAAGAACUCUUCACUGAAUUACGGGACAAGUUACAGUGUGGUUCUUCGUAUUUGAUUCAGAAUCUGAGGAUUGUUGACAACCAAUCUGAAUACAGAGUCAGCCCAGCUCCAUAUU